rnacentral:rRNA from 1 species
AUGAAGGCAGCAUUAAAAACUAUCCUCCCAGAUACUCUGCAUAAGUUGUAUCGGUGGCAUAUCAUGAAGAAGCACAAAGACCACCUCGCCUUGCUGUAUAAGGCGCACGAGAAACUUAAGGAUGACCUCAAUGCGGUGCUAAACCACCCACUAAUGCCGUCAGAAUUUGAAUGAGCAUGGAAAGACCUCAUUCAGAGAUACAACUUGCAAGACGAUGAAGUGAUGAAUUCGCUGCGGGAAGAAAGGCACGAGUGGAACUUGGCUUAAUACAAGGAAAUUUUCUGUGCUCGGAUGACAUCCACACAGAGAAGCGAGAGCAUGAACCGCAUACUAAAGAAAAACUUUGUCAAAGAGAAGCAUGAUCUCCAUCUGUUUCCUCAGCAGGUGGACAAGAGCAUUCAGACCAGGAAGGUCGUCGAGCACGCAGAGACAGUAGCAAAUGAGUCAGAGGUAAAGACAACAACCCAGUUUGGGUUCGAAGUUCAGCUAUCAAAAGUGUAUACAAGGGCAGUGUUUGCAGAUUUGAAAGAAACACUCUACCGUAGCACUGCAUUCAAAGCAGAACGGUGCCCUGAGAACCCGACAAGGUAUCUCGUACACCACUACAACAGAUCGGAUGCAUUUGACUGGGCAAGGCAUAAUUUCCAAGUGGUCGCCGAUGAACAGAAAGGUGUCUACGGAUGUGAAUGCAAACCCUGGACACGCACAGGUCUCUUUUGCGUCCAUGUGUUAUGCAUGCUUUCUCAUUUGAGAGUACUCAAAAUUUCUGACGUGUACAUCAUGAAAAGAUACACGCGUAACGCAAGAUCAAAUGCGACGUUUGACAGAAGAGACUAUGAACAAACAGCACCAGAUGGAACAUCGCUUUUUUGCCGUAGAAAAUUGCUGACAGAAACAGCAAUGGACCUUGCAAACAGAGCGACAAGGUUCGACGCUGGGUGCCACAGAGCAUUGUCUGGUAUGAGGGCACUGAUCUAG